rnacentral:lncRNA from 1 species
CGCCCGCGUGGAAGAAUCGCGAAGCAUCCUCCACGUCUGCUUCUCCCGAGCGUCCCAGCGUGCGACCCCUCAUCCCGUGUCCGUGCAACCUCCCAGUCCUUCACGUCCGCUUCAUCCGCGCGAUUACACCGCAUCCCUGCUUCCUUCAAGCAUCCAAUCGUGAUCCCAGGACCUGUGAAGCGUUGCAGCCGUCUGCAAGUAUCUCCAGAUUUCAUCCAUCCGAGUCCCAGCCUCUUCAGAUACCAUCCACGAUGCUUGCGGAGCCCACGAUGCAUGCCAAGCGUUCACAAUCUCCCGAGCAACUCGCUUCCCAGCGAUUUUCCAGCAAGUCCCGACUUCAUCCCAGCGUCCACGCUCCUCCCUUCCGAUCCAUCUGCCUCUUCCACGUUGGAUCCACUCGCGUGUAAUCUCCCAGCAGAAUUUCCAGCCGCAUCCAGCCAUCCGUUUCAGCUUCUUGGCAUUCCUAGCUUUAUCCCAUGAUUCACAUCCCAAAUUUCAGGAGCUUUUCCAACUUCUCUCCACAUCCCAGCACGUCUUAGCCUAUUCCCAGCCGUCCACGAUGCAUCCAGAUUCAUCCCAGUCGGCCAUCAAUUCCAAGGAUCAGCGUGUGGGAGAUUCUCUAGUUCAAAAGAAAGGAAACAGAAUGCCGCGUGAAGACAUCUCAUCCCGAACAUCCAUCUCACGCACUCCCAGCUAAUUGCGUGCGAUCCACAGCAUCCUGAUUGAUUUUCUUCCGGAUUAGCAUCCAUCCGUUGAUCUCCACUGCGAGAAAUCAGGGAUCCAUCGCAGGAUAUAGAGGAGUUUUCUCAGCUGGAACGGGGGCUCUCGUUUUCAUUCGAAAAAACAGAGGAGAGUUUCAGCCGUUUUGAAAGAAAAUAAAAAGGGAGGAAGAAACAGGGCACCCCCUGUUUUUCUGAAAAGAAAAAGAAAAGAAAGAAAUGAUGAGAGGGAGGAUAAUGUUUUUAAUGGAAGGCUAAAAUCCUAGGUGAUGGGUGAAGGAAGAUCCUUUGAUGUACCGAGUUCAUGAUGUAAAUUCUAAUCCUUUGCUUUAUACGAUUUAUCUUUUGAUUAUAUCAUGAUUCUUAUAUGUUGAAAAUUCUUUUAUGAUUUAUGCUAAUUGAUACAUGUCUUCCUCGAUUAUUUGAUUCAUCGUUGACGUUAUAAGGCACGUUGAAUACUUAGAAAGAGAAUUCGUGUUAUCAAGAACAUACUCCAUAAUUAAAUUUUAUCUGCUUAUAAUUCUUAAAGAAAAUAAAAGAAUCAUAGAAUUUAUCGCAUGAAUUUGAUAUUAUUAAAGGAGAUUCUGGAUCCCUACACCAUCUUAAUCUAUCCAAACUUCGAUUCUCUAUUUACUGAUUUAUUUUCUAUUUGCAAAACAUCAUCUUAAUCCAUAAAUUUAUUGAAUUAAUUAAUCUAAAAUUAUACUAAAUAAUCUCAUAUAUAUUUCGUUUCCUGAGGAUUCGACCUCGGACUCC